rnacentral:rRNA from 1 species
GACGUAGGUGGCGAACGUUAUCCGGAAUUAUUGGGCGUAAAGGGUGCGUAGGCGGCAUGAUAAGUUAUUGGCGGCAAAUCGAGGCUCAACCUCGUGGAAACUGAUAAUACUGUCUUGCUUGAGUGCAGAAGAGGUUAACGGAACUCCAUGUGGAGCGGUAAAAUGUGUAGAUAUAUGGAAGAACACCAAUAACGGCGAAGGCAGUUAACUAUUCUGUUACUGACGUUGAGGCACGAAAGCGUGGGGAGCAAAAAGG